AAGUCGUAACAAGGUUUCCGUAGGUGAACCUGCGGAAGGAUCAUUACCAAAUCCAAAUUAUUUCAACCCCAUGUGAACUAUUGUUUUAGUCUGUCUUUGGGAGAAACUUCCUUUUUUUCUGUAAAGAAUUGAAUAGUUUCUCCCAAUAGAGUCCGGCAUAACUGUAUUGUUGUGUCCAGAUUCGAAAAAAAUACCCUUUAAAAAACCACUUGAUUUUUCUGUUGGAAUUUUUUUUUUUAUUAAUUAUCAAUAAAAGACAACUUUUAACGGCGGAUCUCUUGGCUCGUG
rnacentral:misc_RNA from 1 species